UACGUAGGCAGCAAGCGUUGUUCGGAAUUACUGGGCGUAAAGAGUGUGUAGGCGGUGUUCCAAGUCUGGUGUGAAAUCUCCCGGCUCAACUGGGAGGGUGCAUUAGAAACUGGGAUGCUAGAGGAUGGGAGAGGUAAGCGGAAUUCCUGGUGUAGCGGUGAAAUGCGUAGAUAUCAGGAGGAACACCUGUGGUGUAGACAGCUUACUGGACCAUUUCUGACGCUGAGACACGAAAGCGUGGGUAGCAAACAGG
rnacentral:rRNA from 1 species